rnacentral:rRNA from 1 species
AGUCGAGGGGUAUUUAUCUUCGGAUAGAGAGACCGGCGCACGGGUGCGUAACGCGUAUGCAAUCUACCUUUUACAGAGGGAUAGCCCAGAGAAAUUUGGAUUAAUACCUCAUAGUAUAUAGACUCGGCAUCGAGAUUAUAUUAAAGUCACAACGGUAAAAGAUGAGCAUGCGUCCCAUUAGCUAGUUGGUAAGGUAACGGCUUACCAAGGCUACGAUGGGUAGGGGUCCUGAGAGGGAGAUCCCCCACACUGGUACUGAGACACGGACCAGACUCCUACGGGAGGCAGCAGUGAGGAAUAUUGGACAAUGGGCGCAAGCCUGAUCCAGCCAUGCCGCGUGCAGGAUGACGGUCCUAUGGAUUGUAAACUGCUUUUAUACGAGAAGAAACACUACUUCGUGAAGUAGCUUGACGGUAUCGUAAGAAUAAGGAUCGGCUAACUCCGUGCCAGCAGCCGCGGUAAUACGGAGGAUCCAAGCGUUAUCCGGAAUCAUUGGGUUUAAAGGGUCCGUAGGCGGUUUAAUAAGUCAGUGGUGAAAGCCCAUCGCUCAACGGUGGAACGGCCAUUGAUACUGUUAGACUUGAAUUAUUAGGAAGUAACUAGAAUAUGUAGUGUAGCGGUGAAAUGCUUAGAGAUUACAUGGAAUACCAAUUGCGAAGGCAGGUUACUACUAAUUGAUUGACGCUGAUG